rnacentral:rRNA from 1 species
GGUGAGAGUGGCGAACGGGUGAGUAAUGCGUGACCGACCUGCCCCAUGCUCCGGAAUAGCUCCUGGAAACGGGUGGUAAUGCCGGAUGCUCCGACUCCUCGCAUGGGGUGUCGGGAAAGAUUAUAUCGGUAUGGGAUGGGGUCGCGUCCUAUCAGGUAGUCGGCGGGGUAACGGCCCACCGAGCCUACGACGGGUAGCCGGCCUGAGAGGGCGACCAGCCACACUGGGACUGAGACACGGCCCAGACUCC